CGACCCACAGGCAGCCCGUCAGAGAGCGACCCGACGCACGACUCGGCCCGGGUCCCCGCCCCUCCGCGUACGGCGCGGACGCGGUAUGUGGGCCCUGCGGGCCGCCGUCCGCCCGGGGCUGCGGCUCUCCCGUGUAGGCCGCGGCCGCCUGGUUUCCAGGGCCGCACCACCGCCGCCCUGUCCCGUGCGCGCGCUCGCAGCCACCGGCCGUUAUGGCCCGGGGGGCCGGGAGGGGCCGGGGAGCGCUGAGCGGAGUAAAGCGAAUGGUCGGACCACACGCGCGGGAGAGGACGAGGAAGAGCCCGAAGAUGAGGGAGAGGAGGAGGAGGAGGAGGAGGAGUUGCUCAGGAGCGACCCCCUGCUGCCGGCCGGGACCCAGCGCGUGUGCUUGGUUCACCCUGAGGUCAAGUGGGGACCCGGGAAGCCGCAGCUGACCAGAGGUGACCGGGACCCGGCGAGAACACAGAGAAAGCGCUCAGAUGGCUGAGGCGCUGGGGGCGGAGUCUGCGAGGGGCAGGGACCCAGAGGAAGCGCUGAUAGGAUCGAGAUUCCGGGAAGGCGGAACCUGCGAGGGGCGGGAACACAGCGGAAGCCCUCAUAGGGUGGAAGUGUCGGAGAGGCGGGGCCUCAGGGGGGCGGGGAUCCAAGGGAAGCGCUCAUAGGGUGGAACUGCUGGGGAGGCAGGGCCUUAAAGGGGCGGGUACCCAGGGGAAGAGAUCAUAGGAUGGAGAUGCCGGGGAGGCGGGGCCUCAGAAGGGCAAGUGACCUAAGGGAAGUGCUCUGCACGGGGCCUGCGAGGGGUGGGAACACAGUGCAAGCGCUCAUAGGGUGGAGGUGCCGGGGAGGCGGGGUCUCAGAGGGGCGGGGAUCCAGGGGGAGCGCUCAUAGGGCGGAGGGCCGGGGGCGGGGCCUCCAGAGGAGGAACCGAGGAUGGAGCUGUAGGGGCACAGUCUUUGGGGGCGGGGACUCUGAGGGACCGGCGGUGGUGCUGGAGCAUCUGACUUCUCUGGCAGCCCGACAGCGGGCGCUGCUAGCAGGUUUGGGGUCAGGGGAAGGUGAGCAACAGGUGAUGUCACACCUGGUCCCCACACCCUCGAGGCACGAAGGUGUGCGACUGGAAUGGCCAGUGGCCAGCAGUGCCUUUUGUUCCUGGGUAUUGCCAGAGGGAGCACACAGAUCUGGGGCAGUCUGCAAGGGGCUGGGCCCAAGGGAGGGUCUCAGGAGCACGUCCUGGGAUCUCCCCACACGGGGCUGGCCACUGUAGCUGGGGACAGAGCUAGCCACACGGUCCUGUAGUCUUGUAGCAAUUGGAAUUUUCUCUCUAUGGGCACUGGGUAUCCAGCAGGUGGUGGGCACCAAACAGUGGGACCUUGAAGUUGUUUGGGGGGAUUUUAGAUAUAAUUCAUGUAUUAACUAUUUUGAAGAGUGCAGUUCCCAACAGCCACCACCUCUGUAUGGUCCCAAAACAGUCUUAUCACCCCCAAAAGGAGACCCCAUGCCCAUGAGUCACUCCCCCACCCCAGCCCCUGGCAGCCUCGAAUCCACUUCUCUGUCUGGGUUUGUCUGUUCUGGACAUGUCCUGUAGAUGGACUCCUGCGGCAGCUGGACCGCGGUGUCCAGCUCCCCGCGGUGUGCCUGUGCCAAGGCCCAUCCCAGCUACAGCUCACGUCAGCACCUCGCGUUCUGCUUAUCAUCCACCCUGGACGCUGGCCCAGAACAGCGCUGCUGUGACCGCGAGCUGGGUCCUGGGGGUGCACACCUGGGUGGCACGCAGGUGCCUCAGACCUCCUGGCAGGUGGCUGUGUGGAGAGGCUGCACGGCUGGGUGGGGCGGGCUCCCUGCAGUGCUUCUGAUGGGGCCGGGCUGGGCCCCAGUGGGGAUGGCGGGAAGAGGUGCCACCAGAGUUUGGGAUGGACAGAAGGUCCCCGUAAGGUGGGGGCCAGAGCUGACCCCCCAUGUGUCAGAUCUGAGCCACCAAGAGGGUGAGCUGGGAAGACUGGAGACCCGGCCCCUCUUGGUGCAGAGGCUGGGGGACCCACUGAUGGCCUCUGCUUAGCUGCCACUCGCCACCCUCGUCACUGAGUGUCCCUCUCCUUGGUGUCCUCGGGUCCACCAGUGCCGUGAGUGGUGAGGACUGGCGGAUCUAACCCUAACCCCUGCGUAGGGCACAGUUGGUCCUGAGGGGACCACCUGCUGUGGCUGAGGGCUCAGCUGAGAGAACGUGCUAUAAGGGGGGACACUCCUGGGCGUGGGGCCGGGGGUGGUCCCGAGAGAGCUUGGCUGUUGUCACCUGAGAGGACUCAGCCUGCGAACGAGGAGUUGGUCCUGACCGAUGGGGAGGAGCUGGGAGGGGCCCAGCUGUCCGGGCAGCUUAUGUUACGAGGGUCCUAAGCUGCUGCACACUGUGUGGCAGGAACCCAGCUCCCCAGCCCUGGGGGCGGAGGCUGGACCAGGGUCCCAGGCUGAGCUCCCUGCACAGGCUCCAGGGGGCUCCUCACUGCAGGCUCUGCCUCCGUCUCCACGUGGCUCUUUGCUGUGAAUCUCUCCAAAUCUUCCUUUCCUUUAUAAAGAGGCCUGAACUUAGGGUUCACCUUAGUAAGUCGCACGGUUUCGCGCUGAGCAUCCACUAAUUUCAUCUGAUUGCAUAGCGGACCCUGUUCUGAGUGUCCUGGUGGCCAGAUAGGCCUAAGGUUCUCCAUUCAAUAACCCUGACCCAGGCGGGGCCCGUCUCAGGGUCCUUCACCAAUCACAACCUGCAAAGACCCUGUUGGCCGAGGAGGUCCCAUUCGGAGGUCCCAGUGGGCAUGGCUUUGGGGGACAGGAUGCCUCCCAGAGGCACCCAGGAAGGCAGGAGGACUGUGGGGCGCAGAUGUAGGUACUUACUGCACCCUGACUGCAGACCCUCUGGGUGCCCUUCCCAAGCCCCAGGACGCAGUGGGAGCUGCUCUCAGAGCACCCCUGUCCUUGGAGCUCAGUGUCCCAGGUGUCCCUGCGUCUGUCCGCCCCUCCUCCUGCCGUCUUGCUCUCCAGAAAAUGAGAGAAGCACCAGGCAGCGCCUGUGUUCAGCCCGAGUGUCCAGUGCCUUCUCCCAGGCUUCCUCAGCCCCGGGUCCUCCUGGACCCCCACUCACUGCCUGGGCCUGAUGACCCACCCAGCCCCCUCUCAGGACACUCCAGGAGCUCCGUCCACUCCCCCUGCCUCCGGGGUGGACACUGCCUUUCCAAGGCCCUUCAGAUCAUCUGUCACAUCAUCCUGCACAUGUCCUGAGCCCCUGGGGGACACUGUCCUGGCAGGCCAGCAGGGCAGCCAGUGGCCUCCAUGAGUGUCACCCAGCCAGGCCAGCGCUGGCCCUGGGCCAGCUGGGAAAGAAGCUGCUUCUCGCCCACGGGGCUCACAGUCUGUCCUGAGAGUUCAGGGCCCACCCUGGUCUCUGCACCCACCUGGGCUGUCGGGCUGCCUCAGGGACAUGCCACGGAGGCCAUGCUGCACAUGUCCCAAGUCCCAGCUGCAUCUCCCUGAGUGAACCCCCAGGGAGAGAGGGGCUGGUCCUGGUGACCUGUGGGGGCUGCGGUUUCCUUCCUGUGUCCCCCCACUGGUGCCCCACCUGGGGUCUCCCAGGGAGGAGCCCUGCUGCUCGGGAGUACACCCGGGCGCUGGGCGUCUUCUCGGACCGACUUCUCAGGGGUGGAGGGCAGGUGGACAUGUCCUGGGUGGGUGUGGAUGGCCUGCUCCCUACCCUGAGGGUGGCUCGUCUGCUCCUACAGCCGAGUGGCAGGUGGCAGAAGCCCGGGCUCUGGUCCACACGCUGGCUGGCUGGUCUGUGGUGGAGACCAUGGUGGUGUCCACCAAAACGCCUGAGAGGAAGCUCAUCUUUGGCAAAGGGAACUUUGAGCACCUGACAGGUGAGUCCCUUUGGGUGUGUCCCUCCCCUCUGUCUCUGCCAAGAGCAGGCAGGCAGAGUCCUGCAAGGGCUGGCUCCCUGGGGCCCAGGAAGCAGCCGGGCAGGUCUCAGGCGGGAGGGGACAGCAGAGGAGGGGGUUGCAGGAUGUCCCCACAGGCCUGUGCAUGGGGCUCAGAUGGGUCACAGGUUGGAUGAGUCACCUGGGGGUCCCAGGGGGCAGGUCGUGCCAGCAGAUGGGGUAACUGCACCCGUGGCAGCCCCAGCGCACCCUCCCUCCGACAUUGCACCACAGUCGGGGCCCUUUGUACCUCUGUCCCGCUCAAUUCCAGAGCUCCCCACUCCCCCUGAACCCGAAAAGCCCGCUGAGGCUGGGCCGGUGGUCCUAUUGAACCGGAACCCAGACGUCUCUGAGAUGCUGCUGUGCGUGCGUGGGUGGUGCGUGGGUGUCUCCUGUGCACCUCCAGAUGGUCCCUGGCGACUUCUCCUGCAAUGCACUUGGGAAUUCGCGGAACCGUCCAGACACUGUGCGUCCCACUGCCGCGCUGCGAGGUGGGUCUGAGCCACGACCCCGGGGCAGCGCUUCUGACAGGACCUUCUCUUGCCCUUAGAAAGAAUCAGAGGGUCUCCAGAAAUCACGUGCGUGUUCCUGAACGUGGAGAGGCUGUCCCCGCCCACCAAGGUACAUCGGAGUGUCCCCACACCGGCGUUGAAAGCUUCGCUCUGCAGCACAUGGCCAGGGUGUCCCGCGGAUCCCUCCCGAGGCCAGCCGCAGUGGCGGGUCCCUCCGAACCCUCUCCCGGCCCGUUUCUCCUUUCCAGAAAGAGCUGGAGGCCGCCUGGGGCGUGCGGGUGUUGGACCGCUUCACCGUGGUUCUGCACAUCUUCCGCUGCCACGCGCGCACCAAGGAGGCCCGGCUGCAGGUGGCGCUGGCCGAGAUCCCCCUGCUCAGGUACCGCGGCCCAUCCGGCCUGACUGCCCCGGGGCCCCUCUGGAUUAGCUGGUUUGUCACACGGGCAUCAAGAGAAGAGAAGCCACGUACAGCUCGGCUCCGGGGGGCGCCCUGUGCCUGGGCGGGCUCUCCACGUCCUCCCCCUAGGAGCCCCAGGUGUGGAGCGCCACCCCGUGGCAGUGGGGGACCCACCACCCAGGGAGAGGCCCCCUCAGCGCUUCCCUCUCUGCGGUCAAAGCCCCUGCCCCUGCCUGGCUUUUCGGGAGGGACCCCGUGUCCGCAGCAGGUAAGUGCGUCCUGUUUCCACACCAGGUCGAACCUGAAGCACGACGCGGCAGUCUCGGACCGAGGCGGCGGGGGCUCUCGGUACAUCAUGGGGUCCGGUAAGGCGUGGCCUGGGGCGGGGCAUGUCAGCGCAGCCUCCCUCGGAAAGGGGAGGCAGCCCUGGGAGACCCCGGGGAGGCUCGCAGCGGGCCUGGUCUCACAUCCGAGCUAAUGUUCACUUCUGUUGCGUCACUGAGCACCACAAACGGGCAAUUGAUAAGAACUGAGUCUGUCGCCAGGCGCGGUGGCACACCUGUAAUCCCAGGGGCUCGGGAGGGUGCCGCAGGAGGAUCGCGAACUCAAAGCCAGCCUCCGCAAUGGCGAGGCCCUAAGCGACUCAUGAGACCCUGUCUCUAAAUAAAAUCCAAAAUAGGGCUGGGGAUGGGGCUCAGUGGUCGACUGCUCCUGAGUUCGAUCCCGGGUACCCCAGCGAACAACAAAAAGAAUAGUCUGUCCGGCUUAUGUCCUGAUGGCUGCAAGUCCAAGAACGAGGUGUCAGCCAGCGUCUGUUGGGGACUGGUGCUGCAUUGUGACAUGGCAGAGUAUAUCACGUGGCCAGUAUGCAAGGGACAGCCUGCUUUUAAUUAAACAAAGCCAUUCCCUUGAUAAUGCGUAAACCCACGAACACCCCAAUUCACAAACGGACACGUGCAUUCACCCCACUAAUCUAUGAAGGGACUCAUCCACUCCCCCACAAAUGGGUUAACCCACUAAUCCGCGGACUGGCUGGUUCACUGAUCUAUAAAUGGACUAAUCCACAAACGACUAUCCUACUAAGCCACCAGUGGAGUGACCCAUAAGUAGACUAACCCCCGACCACAAACAGAUACGCGCACUAACGCAGUGGGGACUGAUGAGUGAGCACACAGUCCUUAUGUGGAUUAAUCCACUAACCCGUGAGUGGACUCAUCGGACUCCUCCGCUAAUCCACGAAUGGAUUAGUCCAUUGUCCGCGUGGCCCAUUCAUCUCCCAGGGACCCCACCUCCGAACACAAGUAGCUACUGAGUUGGCAGUUGCGUCUCCAGCACCCCAAUGCUGGGGACACGCACAGCCUGGUCCCGGUCAUGGCCCUCUCUGGGCUGAGGUAGCAAUGACCCAGGAUUGGGGGGCAGGGCAGGGACUUGCGGGCCACGUUGGCCCUAUUGCAUGUCAUCCCAGGCUGUCCUCCGAGGCGCCCCUCAGCUGGUUCCCCCCGGGUAAAGGGAGCUGGCCGGGGUCCCGCGUGGAAAAGCUCGGUAGAGGCGCCAGGCCUCGGCAGAAGUGGGUGGGCGGGGCCCUCUGAGAAGGCGCAGGCGCAGUUGGCUCCUUCGCGACCCUCGCGCCUGCGCCUGACGCGCCCGCCCUCGGAUUCUGCAGGAGAGUCCUUCCUGCAGCUGCGGCAGCGCCUCCUGAGGGAGAAGGAGGUGAAGCUCCGGAGGGCCCUGGAGAGGCUGCGCAGGAAGAGGCAGCUCCUGCGGAGGCAGCGCGCCAAGCGGGAGUUCCCGGUGGUCGCCGUGGUCGGGUACACCAACUGCGGUGAGGCGCCGCCCGCAGAGUGCGGCCUCGGCAGGGCAGGGCCCAGGCCCGGGUUCCGCGGCCGGCCCCGCAGCGAAGGCCAGAGACAGCUGCGGGCAGCUCUGCAGAGGCCCGAGCAGGACGCGGGGUCUGGCUCCCCUGGUCGCUGCCCAGGAUAAACGCCCGCGGCCAGCCCGCCGUGUGCGCGCUCUGCACGCGGGAGGAUCCAGGUCCGCACCCCCGGGGCCCCGGGGCCCUGCCUGAGAAGGGGCAGCCAGGUAUGGCCCAGGUGCCCCCGAGGCAGGUCCAGGGAGCAGCCCAGUGGGGAGGCCGGUCACCAGGGGCCACCACAAAGCCACCUUCAGACCCAGUUCCUACACCAUCCUCAAGACACCACUGCACAGCGCCAGGCCCGUGUACACCACCCCACACCAGGUACACGAACCAGGUCUGUCUACACCACCCGCAAGAACCAGGUCCGUCUCCACCACCCCACACCAGGUGCAGGAACCAAGUCCAUCCACACCACCCCACCCCAGGUGCAGGAACCAGGUCCAUCCACACCACCCCACACCAGGCUGGUCCACAGCACCCACCCCACCAUCUACACCGCAUGCUGUGUGCACACGUCACCUGCACCACCACCCCUCCUGGCUGCACACGACCCAGGGCUAGUCCUGUACCUUCCCUCUCUGGCCACCAGGGUCGCUGAGGAGCUGGCACCCAGGGCCUGGGUAAACUGGAUCUUGCUGCCUCUGCCAGGGCCGGGUCUCAGGGGUGGACAGGGCCUGUGGCCAGGCCAGGCGGGGCUCCCUGGGACCUCGUGUGUGUGUCCUGUGCCUCCCCCAGGGAAAACCACACUGAUCCGGGCCCUGACGGGUGACGAGGCCGCGCAGCCUCGGGACCAGCUGUUUGCCACACUGGACAUCACGGCCCAUGCAGGAUCCCUGCCCUCGCGCAUGACCGUCCUCUACAUGGACACCAUCGGCUUCCUCUCCCAGCUGCCCCACGGCCUGAUCGAGUCCUUCUCUGCCACCCUGGAGGAUGUGGCCCACUCGGUGAGUUGGGUGGCCCUGUGGACAAGACCCCAUAGACAAGCCCUGGGGGCCAGGCCCCUCCGUAGGACAUGAUCCUCCAGCUCCAGCAGGAGUCCCUGGGCCUCCCCAGGGGACAGAAACCACAGGAGUCCAGCUCCCCCAGCCCUGGAGGGCAGAGGCUGGACCAGGGGUCACAGGCUCCAGGGAGGCUCCUCCUACCUGUCCAGCUCCUGGGGCCCAGGCGCGGAGGUGAGCGGACGGGCAGUGUGACUGGUGGCGCAGCCAGGAACCUCCCAUGCAAACCGUCUCGCGGUCCAGCCCCGACGGGGUGGACUGUCCCCACCCGUGGGCCACGCUUCUCCUGGAGAAGUUGCAGAAGUCACAAUGACCUCACGGAGGCCCAGGCUGUGCGUGGGGGCCAGGGCAGGGCGCCGGCCAGCCUCCACGGGCAGCUCCUCGUUCUGGGGCCCGGGAGGCCAGGCCAGCCACUGGAGACGGGGUGCUGGCGGGCGGUGGCAGGACCCAGGCACAGGAACUAGGAAGCCUGUGUCCACCUCGGACAUGUCCUGGCCUCCAGCAGCCCUGUCUUGGGGGUCAGGGCCACCCCCACUGCCACCUUCCUAGGCGGUGGUGCCCUCGAGCCCCUCCUGGGCCUCCCACAGGCAGGUGAGCACGACCCCGGAGCCCCGUCCCCAGCCUGUUUUGUGUUUUAUUAGAGACUGGGUCUCCUUGAGCUGCUUAGGGCCUCACCUUUACCCCCUGACCAUGUGGCCUGUCCACAGGCAGCUGGGGACGGCAGCCCUGCAGCCCCCUGACCAUGUGGCCUAUCCACAAGCAGGUGGGGACAGCAGUCCCCUGACCAUGUACCUGUCCACAGGCAGCUGGGGACGGCAGCCCUGCAGCCCCCUGACCAUGUACCUGUCCACAGGCCGGUGGGGACGGCAGCCCCCUGACCAUGUGGCCUGUCCACAGGCAGGUGGGGAUGGAAGUCCCCUGACCCGUGGCCUCCCUGUCCACCAGGAUCUCAUUGUGCACGUGAGAGACGUCAGCCACCCCGAGACGGAGCUGCAGAAAGUCAGCGUCCUGUCUGCCCUGCAGGGCCUGGGCCUGCCCGCCCCUCUGCUGGACUCCGUGGUCGAAGUGCACAACAAGGUGGAUCUGGUUCCGGGGUGAGUGGGCCGCGCUGCACCCACAGGCUUCUCCUUCCCUGGGCAUCCCCAUCGGGGAGGGUCGGGGUGGACUGUGGCUUUCCCACGAGGGACAGACGUGUCCAUCUCCCAGUGCUGCUAAGGGCCAUUGGCAUCCAGCCUCCCUGUGACAUUGGUGGCAGUGGCCUUUCCUGUUGAAGUGACUUGGUCCCACGAGGAGCACCCAGAGCACCCAGGCUGGGCCCCUUGGGUGGGACCUCACCUCUGCAGCUGCCCCAGGGCUGACCGGUGUGCUGGCCUCUCUCAGGUACCGUCCCCCAGACCCGAGCGCAGUGGCCGUGUCCGCCCUCCUGGGACAGGGGCUGGAGGAGCUGAGGGUGGGGCUGGAGGAGGCCGUGCUGAGGGCCACCGGGAGGCAGGUGCUCACCCUGCACAUCAAGCUGGCCGGGCCGCAGCUCAGGUGAGGGACCCAGACCCGGGUCUGCCCCCGGACGGCGGUGGGCCUGGGCCUUGCAGCAUGGCCACCUUUAGCUGCCUCCGUGCACAGAGGGUGGGUAGUGGGCGUGGAAGUCCAUGCUGAUGCUGGCAUGUGCAUACACCAGGUGCUUAAGCUGUGCUCGCUCAUGUUGCAGGGCUGCACGUCCUGUCCACCUCCAGUGUGCCCGGGCCUCCAGCAGCCCUCUCCUGGGGGCGGAAGGAGCCGCUCCCACCACCACCUUCCGGGGCUGGGGAGCGCUGUGGGCAGCGGGGAGAGGUGGGCUGGGCUUCAGAGACGGCCACGCCCUGACGGGCCUCUCUGCCCCCAGCUGGCUUUACGAGGAGGCCACGGUGCAGCAGGUGGACGUGCUGCCUGAGGCCGGGGCAGCCCACGUGAAGGUCAUCAUCAGCAACUCGGCCUAUGGCAAGUUCCGGAAGCUCUUCCCAGGAUGAACUCGCCUGCGCUGGGCACUGUGUGGCUUCCGAACUGGAAACAAGUGGCCGCGGCCUCGCUGGCUGCACCCCCACCCCGCCCACGGCCGAGCAGGGCCGGCGGUCGGCCCAGCCUGCACCCCUCCCGCAGCUGGUCAGCCUGUGGUGUCCCUGCUGCUAUUAAAGUCCAUGUCAGGUGUGCGAACAGC
rnacentral:lncRNA from 1 species